CUGUUGGUAUUUGCUGUGGAGCGAUAAAGUGAAUGUGCGUGUCAAUGCCACCAGCCGUCACAAUUAAGCCUUCCCCUGCGAUUACUUCCGUGCUAGCUCCCACAAUCAUAUUAGAAUCUACACCAUCUUGUGUAUCUUUAUUCCCAGCCUUGCCAAUGCCUACGAUUUUCCCUGCUUUUAUACCAAUAUCUGCUUUAAUAAUCCCGCUAUAAUCAAUAAUCACAGCAUUUGUAAUUACCAAAUCAAGCGCAUCUUCGCCCUCAUUGACACUUUGCGCCAUACCAUCGCGG
rnacentral:sRNA from 1 species